AUCAUCCUACGGGGGGCAGCAGUAGGGAAUUUUCGUCAAUGGGCGCAAGCCUGAACGAGCAAUGCCGCGUGCAGGAAGAAGGUCUUCGGAUUGUAAACUGUUGUCGCAGGGGAAGAAGACAGUGACGGUACCCUGUGAGAAAGUCACGGCUAACUACGUGCCAGCAGCCGCGGUAAUACGUAGGUGACAAGCGUUGUCCGGAUUUACUGGGUGUAAAGGGCGCGUAGGCGGGAUAGCAAGUCAGUCGUGAAAUGCCGAGGCUUAACCUCGGAGCUGCGAUUGAAACUGUUAUUCUUGAGUAUCGG
rnacentral:rRNA from 1 species